GCGGAUAUUAUAAUAAAAGAACAUUGAGCAUUUUAAGCAAGAUAUAUAUGUGGUCAUCCAUGACCUAGGGCUAUGGCUAUAUUAUAAAUUUAUGAUGAUCUAGAAAAAAAGACCUUGGUAGCUUUGGUAAUUACAAAACCUUGCUUGCAACUCAAUCAAUCCCAUGCAGGUAAAUUAUUCUUCUUGUUUCAAUUGCACUUUGAAGGGCACAUGACAUGACAUGACCCUUCUGCAAGUAGGGUUAGAGUGGGCUGCGCCAGCUUCAUUCCAUUCAAAUUCCAAAGCAGGUUGAAGGGUCAAAAAAGACAUGCCAGCAAAGUUUUCUUGGGGUUUG
rnacentral:misc_RNA from 1 species